AUGGCGCCGCACGGCGACAGGAAGAAGGGGAAGGGCGCGGACCGCCCGGGCAAGCCGGGGCUGGGCCCCAACCGCAAGGAGUUCAAAAACCACCGCAAGGAGGAAGGGGAGAAGGCGGGCGGCGCAGAGGAGCAGGAGCAGGAGCAGCAGCCGGCGCCGCACCCGGCGGCUCUGUUCAACGCCGCCGACGACGGUGACUUCCCCAGAGGAGGGCGCAGCCUCCUGAGCAGGGACGAGAUGGCCGAGGCGCGCACCGAGGCCGAGGUGGAGUUCGAGAAGGAGGAGAGGAGGGGGAAGAAGAAGAGGAAAGCCAACGUCUCUUCAGGAAUCGACGGCGAUGAUGACCUCGGGACCCUCUUCGGCGGGGCUACCACUGGGAAGCUCCCACGCUUCGCCAAUCGCAUCACCUUGAAGAAUAUUUCACCAAGCAUGAAGCUUUGGGGUGUUGUAAUCGAAGUUAACCAAAAAGACAUUAUAGUGAGUCUACCUGGCGGAAUGAGAGGGUUUGUUCGCACAGAGGAAGUUUCGGACAUUGCUUUGCAUGGAAAUAGCAAGGAUAAUGAGGGCAGUGUAUGUGCUGAAGUUGUUCAUGUUGGUCAGCUGGUACCUUGUAUGGUUCUGCAAGUUGAUGAUGAUAAGAAAGAAGGAAAAGCACACAAGCGGGUUUGGUUAUCAUUGCGGUUGAGCCGGAUGUACAAGGGUCUUUCUCUGGAUGCUAUCCAGGAUGGAAUGGUGCUCACUGCUCAAGUGAAAAGCGUCGAGGACCAUGGUUACAUUCUUUAUUUCGGAGUAUCCACAUUUAGUGGAUUUAUGCCAAAAGCUGGCAAAGAAACUGUGAAGAUUGAGAGCGGGCAACUCAUACAAUGUGUCGUGAAGGGGAUUGAUAAAGCUCGCUCUAUUAUUCACUUGAGUUCUGAUGAAGACUUGAUCUCUAAAUCCAUUAUUAAAGAUCUGAAAGGCCUUUCCAUUGAUCAUCUAAUUCCUGGCAUGAUGAUGAGUGCACGUGUUCAUUCAGUCCUUGAAAAUGGAGUUAUGCUAUCAUUUCUUACUUACUUCACUGGAACGGCUGAUAUUUUUAAUUUGUCGAGCUCCUUCCCUUCUGGUAAUUGGAAAGAUGAUUACAGCAAGAAUAAGAAGGUAAAUGCCCGCAUCUUGUUUGUUGAUCCGUCAACAAGAGCAGUUGGGCUUACAUUGAACCAACACUUACUUCGUCUUAAUGUACCCCCUAUUAAUGUUAAAGUUGGAGAAAUAUAUGACAAAUCACGGGUGCUGAGGGUGGAUAAAAAAGCUGGUCUUUUUCUUGAAAUACCUUCUCCAACUCCAUCACCUGGAUUUGUUAGUAUACACGAUGUAUCAGACAAGGAUGUGAAGAAUGUGGAGAAGAAGUUUAGGGAAGGCAGCUUGACACGUGUCCGUGUACUUGGAGUGCGACAUCUUGAAGGAGUUGCACUAGGCACACUAAAAGACAGUGCUUUUGAAGGUUCUGUUUUCACUCAUGCUGAUGUCAAACCAGGAAUGGUAGUGAGAGCUAAGGUUGUUACUGUUGAGCCUUUUGGCGCAAUUGUGCAGUUUUCAAGUGGUGUGAAAGCACUUUGUCCACUUCCUCACAUGUCUGAGUUAGAUAACAUUGUAAAGCCACCGAAGAAAUUUAAGGCUGGAGCUGAACUACUUUUUCGUGUUUUGGGUUGCAAAUCCAAGAGAAUAACAGUGACAUACAAGAAGUCUCUGGUCAAAUCAAAACUUGAAGUGUUGGCCUCGUAUGCUGAUGCCAAGAUUGGUUUAGUGACUCAUGGAUGGAUUACUAAAAUAGAAAAGCAUGGGUGCUUCGUGAGAUUUUACAAUGGAGUUCAGGGGUUUGUUAGCAGAUCUGAACUUGGACUAGAGCCAGGCAUUGAAGCUGAAAGUGUUUAUCAUGUUGGACAAGUUGUCAAAUGUAGAAUUGUAAGCGUGGUCCCCACUUCAAGGAAACUAUAUGUUAGUUUUACAAUGUCUUCUAAUAGGGUCAUUCAAGCUGAUACUGCAAAGGUGGGUACAAUUGUCUCUGGUGUUGUGGAGCGACUUACUCCUGCAACUGUUGUGGUCAGUGUCAAUGGCUUCUCCAAGGGAUCUAUACUUAAUGAACAGUUGGCAGAUCAUCAUGGCCAAGCUGCUCAGUUGAAGAAUUUGUUGAAGCCUGGCCAUGAGUUCAACCAGCUUUUAGUUCUUGAUACUGAAGGCCAAAAUUUAGUUCUUUCCGCUAAACACUCACUUAUCAACACUGCAAAUGACAUUCCAUCAGAGAUAUCACAGAUGCAAGCAGGAGCUGUAGUUCAUGGUUACAUUUGCAACAUCAUCGAAGCUGGUUGUUUUGUUCGCUUUCUUGGACAUCUAACUGGUUUCUCUCCCAAGGAUAAAGCGGUUGACAGGCCGAUAGAAAAGCUUUCUGAUGUGUUCUGUGUUGGCCAAUCAGUUCGUAGUCAUGUCCUCAAUGUGAAUGCAGAAUCUGCUCGAGUAAAGCUUUCACUCCAACAGUCCAUGUGCUCUUCACCUGAUUGUUCAUUUAUUCAAGGAUAUUUUCUUCUCGAUCAGAAGAUUGCCGCAUUGAAGUAUUCAGGUCCUAGUACUUCUCAUGAUUGGGUGAAAUAUUUUGGCAUUGGUAGCUUGGUUAAGGGUGAGGUGGGAGCAAUAGAAGAAUAUGGUGUUAUCCUUAACUUCAAAGACCAUCCGGAUGUUGUUGGUCUAAUUGAACAUCAUCAGCUUGGUGGCAGUACUGUAAAAGUGGGUUCUUCUGUGAAGGGUCUUGUUGUGGAUUUAUCUGAUGGAGUUGUAAAUUUAUCGCUUAAACCUGAACUAGUUGGCAGUGUCAGCAAGGAUGGGAAAAAGAAGAAACGUCACAGAGCUGCGGUUUUGGACUUGGAGCUUCGGGAAGAAGUCAAUGCAGUUGUGGAGAUAGUCAAAGACAGCUAUGUGGUUCUUUCUGUCCCUGAGUAUAAUCAUGCAAUAGGCUUUGCACCGUUGAUGGAUUACAACUCACAAUUGCUUCCUCAACAUCACUAUGAUAAUGGGCAGUGCAUUACCGUUGUCGUUGGAAGUAUCCCAAGUUCUGACCCUUCUGGAAGACUUAUCCUUCUCCCGAAAGGAUCAGCCCAGGAUUCUAAUAUCUCUAGUUCUAAAAGGGCUAAGAAGAAAUCAGACUACAAAGUUGGGUCACUUGUUGAAGCAGAGAUUAUUGAUAUCAAGCCGCUUGAGGUUAUUUUGAAAUUUGGUGUCAAUCUUCAUGGAAGGAUUCAUAUUACUGAGGUCCUUGAAGAAGAUUGCAGCGAGCAUCCCUUUAGUAAACUCAAAAUCGGGCAAAAGGUCCAUGCAAGAAUUGUUGCACAAGCUGAACAUUCAGCAAAAACUGGCAGAAAUUUGAAAUGGGAACUAUCUAUUAAGCCAUCCUUGCUUAAAGCAGACUUGGAAGAAUCAACUGCAUCUGAAGCUGAAUUGAAUCACUCAAUUAAUGACAUCAUACGUGCUUAUGUCGUCAAGGUGGAUGCGGAAUGGGUCUGGUUAACUGUAUCCAGAAAGGUUAUGGCACAUUUAUUUAUUCUUGAUAGUUCAGUUGAGCCGAGCGAACUAAAAGAGUUCCAACAGCGUUAUAGUGUCGGUCAAGCAGUGAAAGGACGCAUUAUUGGGGUGAACAGAGAGAAAAGGUUGUUGAGGCUGAAAGCGUUUGAUAACCAAUGCAUGCUCGAGAAUAUAGAUGACACACAAAAAACAGUAUCUUCUAUUGCUGAACACACGAAGGAAGGAGAUGUCAUUGGUGGACGCAUCCAAAGGAUUCUACCUGGUGUUGGUGGGCUUGUCAUCCAGAUUGGACCUCAUCUUCAUGGAAGAGUUCAUUAUACUGAAAUUGUUGAUUUGUGGGUACCUGAACCCCUAUCUGGGAUCCAUGAAGGUCAAUUUGUAAAGUGCAAGGUCCUGGCUGUAAGCCGCCAAGCUGAAGGAUCUGUCCGAGUUGACCUAUCACUUCGCUCAAGAAAACUUGGUGAUUCGACAACUUGCGCUCCCCGGUUUGAGAAGAUCAACGAUCUGUGCCCUGGUACAGAGGUUAAGGGUUAUGUGAAGAAUGUGAAUCCCAAAGGGUGUUUCAUCAUGCUUUCUCGAAUGGUUGAGGCUAGGAUUAUUUUGUCAAAUCUGUCAGAUGAGUAUGUCGAAAAUCCUCAGAAGGAUUUCUCAGUUGGAAUGCUUGUACAGGGAAGGGUAUUGUCUGCGGAACCACUAUCAGGGAAAGUUGAGGUAUCACUUAGGAAGAGCACUGGUAGCAAAUCACAGAAGUUGGAUGAUGUUAGCUACAGUGACCUGCAUGUUGGGGACAUCGUUGAUGGUCAAGUUAAACGGGUUGAAUCCUAUGGAUUAUUUGUGACAAUCAAGAGCAGUGAACUGGUGGGCUUGUGUCAUGUAUCAGAACUUUCUGAUGAACCAGUUCUUGAUAUCAACGCUUGCUACAAAGCUGGCGAUAUUGUUAAAGCUAAAAUUUUGAAGAUUGACGAGGAUCGACACCGAGUAUCCCUUGGCCUUAAGGAAUCUUACUUUGACUCUGAUCUGACUGAUGAUGAAAAUGGCAACGAGAAUGAUGGUGGAAGGGUUCCCAUGGACAUCAGCCGUGCCCCUCAGAUGUCUGGAGGUUUUAACAGCACUUUAGUUCUUCCUGGACCUGAACCCAGGGCUUCUGUUCCCCCACUUCAGGUCGCCUUGGACGAAUACGAAGGUUCUGACCAAGAGGGUGAUCAGAAAGCUCAUGAAAUUGCUAAUGGAAGUGAACCAAAUGUAAAAAAGAGCGAUAGACGGUUAAAGGAGAAGGCGAGAAAACAAAGGGAAAUAGAAAUCAGUGCCUUGGAGGAAAGGGCUUUACAGAAAGAUAUACCACAGACUCCAGAUGAAUUCGAAAAGUUGGUGAGGACCUCUCCAAAUAGUAGCUUCGUCUGGAUAAAGUAUAUGGCAUUUUUGUUAGACCUUGCGGAUGUCGAGAAAGCACGUUCAGUAGCUGAAAGGGCUUUGAGAACAAUAAACAUUAGAGAGGAGGAGGAGAAACUCAAUGUAUGGGUAGCAUACUUCAACCUUGAAAAUGAGUACGGGAGUCCACGGGAGGAUGCUGUCAAGAAGAUAUUCCAAAGAGCCCUGCAGUAUUGUGAUCCCAAAAAGGUGCACUUGGCUCUUCUUGGAAUGUACGAGAGGACUAAACAGAAUGAACUGGCAGAUGAACUGUUUGAUAGAAUGACCAAAAGAUUCAAAACUUCGUGCAAGAUCUGGUUGCGCCGCAUUCAGUUCUCUCUCACUCAAGGCAAGGAUGUUGAAUACAUCAAAUCUGUCGUAAACCGUGCGCUUCUUAGUCUGCCACAAAACAAGCGUAUAAAGUUUCUCACGCAGACUGCUAUCCUGGAGUUCAAGUGUGGGGUGGCUGAGGAAGGGAGAUCCAGAUUUGAGCUGAUCCUAAGGGAGUAUCCGAAAAGAACAGAUAUUUGGAGUGUUUACCUAGACCAGGAAAUUCGACUUGGUGACACGGAAAUUAUACGGGCAUUAUUUGAUAGGGUGACAUGCCUUAGUCUUCCUCCAAGAAAGAUGAAGUUCUUGUUCAAGAAAUACCUGCGAUAUGAGAAGGCUCAGGGCGAUGAAGAAAGAAUCAAGCAUGUGAAGCAGAAGGCAAUGGAGUUCGUUGAGAUUUGUAGAGCCUGA
rnacentral:rRNA from 1 species